AACGCACAUUGCGCCCCUUGGUAUUCCGAGGGGCAUGCCUGUUCGAGCGUCAUUACAACCCUCAAGCAUUGCUUGGUGUUGGGCUCCGCUGUUCACCCAGCGGGCCUUAAAAUCAGUGGCAGUGCCAUCGAGGCCCUGAGCGUAGUAAAUAUCCUCGCUAUAGGGACCGGUGGACACUAGCCAUCAACCCCCAACUUUCUAAGUUUGACCUCGGAUCAGGUAGGGAUACCCGCUGAACUUAA
rnacentral:misc_RNA from 1 species